GUAAUGCGGUUCCUAAAGGAGUGAUUUACUCUUUGAAGAAUCCUACCUAUGGUUGAUGGUGUGGAAGUCAAGCUAAUGACUGUAAACAAGCGCUUCUUGGGAGGCAAUCCAACCAACAAAAAAAAAAAAAAUCCUUUCUAUUGUCUUUUGUUAUAUGUUUUAAUUGUUGUUUUUAUUUAAGUCUUUGAAUAAUUAUUGUUGUGACCCCUUUCUUUUUGGUUGUGUUGUGUAGGUGCAGAAAAAUCAAGCAAGAAGCUAGUUC
rnacentral:lncRNA from 1 species